rnacentral:rRNA from 1 species
UACGUAGGUGGCAAGCGUUGUCCGGAAUUAUUGGGCGUAAAGCGCGCGCAGGCGGCCUUUUAAGUCUGAUGUGAAAUCUUGCGGCUCAACCGCAAGCGGCCAUUGGAAACUGGGAGGCUUGAGUACAGAAGAGGAGAGUGGAAUUCCACGUGUAGCGGUGAAAUGCGUAGAUAUGCGGAGGAACACCAGUGGCGAAGGCGACUCUCUGGUCUGUAACUGACGCUGAGGCGCGAAAGCGUGGGGAGCAAACAGG